rnacentral:rRNA from 1 species
UACGAAGGGGGCUAGCGUUGCUCGGAAUGACUGGGCGUAAAGAGUGUGUAGGCGGUGCUCCAAGUCUGGUGUGAAAUCUCCCGGCUUAACUGGGAGGGUGCAUUAGAAACUGGAAUGCUAGAGGAUGGGAGAGGUAAGCGGAAUUCCUGGUGUAGCGGUGAAAUGCGUAGAUAUCAGGAGGAACACCUGUGGUGUAGACAGCUUACUGGACCAUUUCUGACGCUGAGACACGAAAGCGUGGGUAGCAAACAGG